rnacentral:rRNA from 1 species
CAGGCCUAACACAUGCAAGUCGAACGAGAAAGUGGAGCAAUCCAUGAGUAAAGUGGCGACCGGGUGAGUAACACGUGACUAACCUACCUUCGAGUGGGGGAUAACCUAGGGAAACCUGGGCUAAUACCGCAUAACAUCUUUGGAUCGGAAGAACUGAAGAUCAAAGGAGCAAUUCGCUUGAAGAGGGGGUCGCGGCUGAUUAGCUAGUUGGCGGGGUAAUGGCCCACCAAGGCUUUGAUCGGUAGCCGGCCUGAGAGGGCGCACGGCCACACUGGAACUGAAACACGGUCCAGACUCCUACGGGAGGCAGCAGUGGGGAAUUUUGCGCAAUGGGGGAAACCCUGACGCAGCAACGCCGCGUGGAGGAUGAAGUCCCUUGGGACGUAAACUCCUUUCGACCGGGACGAUUAUGACGGUACCGGUGGAAGAAGCCCCGGCUAACUUCGUGCCAGCAGCCGCGGUAAUACA